rnacentral:rRNA from 1 species
UACGGAGGGUGCGAGCGUUGUCCGGAAUCAUUGGGCGUAAAGGGCGCGUAGGUGGCCUGCUAAGCGUGCGGUGAAAGCUCGGGGCUCAACCCCGAGUCGGCCGUGCGAACUGGUGGGCUUGAGCACUGUAGAGGCAGGCGGAAUUCCGGGUGUAGCGGUGGAAUGCGUAGAGAUCCGGAAGAACACCGGGUGGCGAAGGCGGCCUGCUGGGCAGUAGCUGACACUGAGGCGCGACAGCGUGGGGGAGCAAACAGG